rnacentral:lncRNA from 1 species
GACGUAUGAGUUCCAUGUCCAACCGAGUCUCUCGAGUUCUUGUAUGGACCCGUCGAGACUUUCGCUCCGUUAUAGUAUCUGGCUCCAACGAGCUUCCUGGUAAGGAGUUCAAUCAUCACUUUAGUCUAAUCUUGUGGCAAACUCUAACACGUACUUGUUGCAGUUGACAGUCUCAUUGGCUUUGGUGCCUGGUGGAUUGACGCAAGUUCCUUUCCAACGAGCUGGCACAGGUCCCAUGUCGGUGUCCUUGAAACUCUCCGACUCUGGCCAGAUUCUUACGCACAGUGCAAGUAAGCACAUUGAGCUUUUCCGAGCGAGUUUUGUAAGUUACCUGUGUCCAGAAGCCCGACGAUCACGUCAGUACUUGGAGAUCCAGCGUGACUGCUUUUGGCAGGCAUGGCCAGGCCGAGGAAAUCCCACGAGUGCGUUGUCAGUGAAUGGAGCGUUUUGCUGGGAUAGAUGUUGAGGACCUCAGGCAUUCCUACACAGUGGUCUGUUAAGCAAUGACUGGAGAUUGUUUCGGCCUCUUGUUCAGUCAGGUAUGCCGAGAAUCCACUGAAGGCAUACUUAUAGCUGAAGAUGAUGGACGAGUGAGCAUUCCUAAUGAUGGAAGACAAAUUCUCGGAAGCGUGAGCCUUGCCAAGGCACAAAAGGAAUCGAUGAAACCUUCCAACAGCUCUGGCAAGUAUGUUAACUAUUGACAAUGUGGUAGGAGUUUGGUGCUCUUUUGGUAGUGCAUUUAUAAGUAUAUUGGAUACUUCUUAGUUGAGUUGCAUACAAGUGAGAUAAAAAUGGGAUUACAACUUUUAUUGUCAUCCAUUUAUGAAGUGCAAAAUGGAUGAUCAAAUGUUAACUCAUUCUCUUAAUCUUAAAAGUGUGUGGUUUAUCUAAAA